UCCGUCAUGGUGUAGUGGCUAGCAUUUCAGACUCUCAUUCUUCAUUCACCUCCAGGUGAAGAGAUGUGCACUCUGAGAACCCGGGUUCAAUUCCCGGUGACGGAA